CCCUGCCGCUGCCCCCCCCGCUGCCGCCACCAUGCCCAUGUUCGCCAUCCAGACCAACGUCUGCAAGGACGUUGCACCCGACAGCCUGCUGGGCAACCUCACCCAGCAGCUGGCCAAGGCCACUGGCAAGCCCAAGCAGUACAUAGCUGUGCACAUCAUACCUGAUCAGAUGAUGUCUUUCAGGGGCUCCACCGAUCCCUGUGCACUCUGCAGCCUUGACAGCAUGGGCAAAAUAGGAGGGCAGCAGAACAAGACUUACACCAAGCUCCUGUGUGAUCUGAUCUCUAAGCACUUGCAUGUAUCUGCAAGAUAGGGUGUACAUCAACUACUUUGACGUGAAUGCUGACAAUGUGGGCUGGAAUGGCUCCACCUUUGCAAGGAGCUCUCCCGUCUGAAGAGGCUGCUCCUGGACUACCUUCAUCCUGCGCCUUAGCAGAGACCACUGCACAAAUGGCCCUAUGUUGCACUUUGUGCACUCUCACAUUGAUGGCUACUUGCUAGUGUGUUUAAAUACUGCUGCUUCAACAUUCCUCUGUUUUCUCUGUGUAGAAAACAAAUAAAGAUUUAGAAGU